GGCACGCCUAACACAUGCAAGUCGAACGAAGUAGCAAUACUUAGUGGCGAACGGGUGAGUAUAAUGUGGGUAUCUGCCUUUUGGUUUGGAAUAACACGGGGAAACUUGUGCUAAUACCAAAUAAGCCUUCACAGGGAAAGUUUUAACGCCAAAAGAUGAGCCCGCACUUGAUUAGCUAGUUGGUAAGGUAAUGGCUUACCAAGGCUACGAUCAAUAGCUGAUCUGAGAGGAUGAUCAGCCACAUUGGGACUGAGACACGGCCCAAACUCCUACGGGAGGCAGCAGUGGGGAAUCUUGCACAAUGGGGGAAACCCUGAUGCAGCGAUGCCGCGUGAGUGAAGAAGGCCUUUGGGUUGUAAAGCUCUUUCGUCGGGGAAGAAAAUGACUGUACCCGAAUAAGAAGGUCCGGCUAACUUCGUGCCAGCAGCCGCGGUAAUACGAAGGGACCUAGCGUAGUUCGGAAUUACUGGGCUUAAAGAGCUCGUAGGUGGUUAGAAAAGUUGGUGGUGAAAUCCCAAGGCUUAACCUUGGAACUGCCAUCAAAACUUUUUAACUUGAGUAUGAUAGAGGAAAGUGGAAUUUCUAGUGUAGAGGUGAAAUUCGUAGAUAUUAGAAAGAACACCGAUUGCGAAGGCAGCUUUCUGGAUCAUUACUGACACUGAGGAGCGAAAGCAUGGGUAGCGAAGAGGAUUAGAUACCCUCGUAGUCCAUGCCGUAAACGAUGUGUGCUAGACGUUGGAAAUUUAUUUUUCAGUGUCGCAGCAAAAGCGUUAAGCACACCGCCUGGGGAGU
rnacentral:rRNA from 1 species